GCUACGGGAGGCAGCAGUGAGGAAUAUUGGUCAAUGGGCGUAAGCCUGAACCAGCCAAGUCGCGUGAGGGAUGAAGGUUCUAUGGAUCGUAAACCUCUUUUAUAAGGGAAUAAAGUGUGGGACGUGUCCUGUUUUGUAUGUACCUUAUGAAUAAGGAUCGGCUAACUCCGUGCCAGCAGCCGCGGUCAUACGGGGGAUCCGAGCGUUAUCCGGAUUUUUUGGGUUUAAAGGGUGCGUAGGGGGCCUUUUAAGUCAGCGGGGAAAGUCGGUGGCUCAACCAUAAAAUUGCCGUUGAAACUGGGGGGCUUGAGUAUGUUUGAGGCAGGCGGAAUGCGUGGUGUAGCGGUGAAAUGCUUAGAUAUCACGCAGAACCCCGAUUGCGAAGGCAGCCUGCCAGUGCAUGACUGACGCUGAUGCACGAAAGCGUGGGGAUCAAACAGGAUUAGAUACCCUAGUAGUC
rnacentral:rRNA from 1 species